GGGAGUGUGGCGGAAUUGGCAGACGCGCCGGAUUCAAGUCCCGGUGUCUUCGGGCGUGAGGGUUCGAAUCCCUCCACUCCUA
rnacentral:tRNA from 1 species